rnacentral:rRNA from 1 species
UGGGGAAUAUUGGACAAUGGGCGCAAGCCUGAUCCAGCCAUGCCGCGUGAGUGACGAAGGUCUUCGGAUUGUAAAAUCCUUUCGUUGGGGACGAUAAUGACGGUACCCAAAGAAGAAGCUCCGGCUAACUUCGUGCCAGCAGCCGCGGUAAUACGAAGGGGGCUAGCGUUGUUCGGAUUUACUGGGCGUAAAGCGCGUGUAGGCGGGUCGUUAAGUUGGGGGUGAAAUCCCGAGGCUCAACCUCGGAACUGCCUUCAAAACUGGCGACCUGGACCUAAGUAGAGGCAAGUGGAAUUGCGAGUGUAGAGGUGAAAUUCGUAGAUAUUCGCAGGAACACCAGUGGCGAAGGCGACUCGCUGGACUUGUAGUGACGCUGAGACGCGAAAGCGUGGGGAGCAAACAGGAUUAGAUACCCUCGUAGUCCCUGAGCGGGCUGGCAAGGCGCAU